rnacentral:lncRNA from 1 species
UUAAUUAAAAUUAAUAACGCUUACAGUAUUUUUGAAAUCUGCCCCAAAAUGGCCCAUAACUCAAAGAAAAUGGGGAGAUGGGUUACGGAAAAAGUGCACUGAACAGUUAGUUCUUAUUUUUUGCCAUACAAUUUAUAUCCGAAGUCAAAACAUAUCCUUCCUGUUUGAAAUACGCGAAAAAAGGGGGUCCUUCCUUAGCCUUCCCCCCAUUGGGGUUUUGGGGGGCUGAAAAUAUUUAAUUGGAUUCGUUGAGGUUGAUUUACCCCUGUAAGUUUUCGUCCCGAAGCUCGAUUUUCGGUCGUUUCCUAGAAAAAGAUAGUGGACGGGUGCUCUGGAUCACCCGGUAUAGUUGUAUGAAGUCCCCGAGUUUUAUUGCAGUAGGUAAAGUAGGCAUACAAUAAACAUACGUACGGGACCAACAGUGGGAACCCGUAAUGGAAUGGGAACCAAGGCAAGAGAUUCGAGCGAACGGGUAAGAAAAAGGUAGCUGCUGUAUUGGGACUAUCUAUGGGACGUGGGGGUGAAUGGUGACACUAAAUGGCUCAAAACUGCUCACGAUCAGAGCAACAGCAGGCUUCGUCGGCCUCGGCUUUCGGACACACGACCCAGAGCGGCAGCCGCGGCACUAAUGCAAUUGUAUCGAAAACCCGGACUGUUCGUGUUCGUUUCUCACUCGUUUCUUCCCAGCUCUUUCAAUUCUCUAUUUCUGCUCCGAGCGGGUCCAAGACAUUUCAUAAUGGACUGCUAGACAAGGUUGUUGACUGUGAAGGGGCAACGUCGCAAUGUAAAUACACCGACGGGUAAUUAAGGAGCUUUUAAUAGCUCUACCGUGAGUUUGCUACGUCUACUCGUGCGGAUUCGUUGACCUUCGGAGGCCUUCGACUCCGGUCUGACCUCCUCCAAGUCCUUUAUCCUGUGUCCCAACCUCUGCUUUGCAUCGUCCUAUUGUUUGUUAACGCCACUGAUCACCUAUAUAAUGUCUCUAUCCUUCUGAAACCACUCUUUUUCUUGUUAAUAUUAGAGUGCUUACGCCUCCUUAGCCUUAGCAC